GGACGGCAUCCGCUCCUCUCCCUUCCGCAACUCCCUCUCUCCCGCACCGCAUCCGCGCCUCUCUCUCUCUCCCGUGCCUCCCUCCGAGAUCCGCUGCUUCCUCUCCCGCAUCGCAUCGCCGCUAUCGACUCCCGUCGCCGCCCCAGUCUGCCCUCCCACCGCCGCCUCUCUCCCGUCGAUCCAAUCCGCCGCCCAGUCCCGGCUCCGAUCCCCCCUCUCUCUCUCUCUCGCAAACCCUAGCUCCUCGCGAUCCCCGUCCUCCGCGCAGCCGCCGAUCUCCGUCGCGCCUCCAAGAGUUGCCGCCCGUCUUCCGUUGCCGAUCCCCGUCGACCACGACCACGACCACGACCACGACCACGCCGCCCGCCGAUCCUCCAUCGCCGCCUUCACCGAGUCACCGCCCGUCAUCCACGACUACGUCGCCGCUGAUCCCCCAACCGCACACGGCUCUGGACCACCAUCGUCCUGGGAAUUCACCAUCUGAACUCCUAGCCUAAGGAGAAAUCCGCCUUGGCAUCCGUCGUUGCUUUUGAGAUUAUGGAGGCCGACGACGACAUUAAUAUUUUUGUGAAGGAUAUGAAUGCGAAUGACGGUGAGCGGCACCCGAGGGGGGAGAAGCGCAGGAGGGUUGGGAACGAUCAGAAGGUGAAGGUGGAUGACCGUGAGCAGCACUGGUGCGAGGAGAGGGGGGAGAAGCGUAGGAGGGUUGGGCAUGGCCAGCAGAGGAGCCACCAGCGUGACCAGGAGAGGAGCCACCAGCAUGACCAGGAGAGGAGUGUGGAGCGUGACCAGGAGAGGAGCCACCAGCGUGACCAGGAGGGGAGUGUGGAGCGUGACCAGGAGAGGAGCCACCAGCGUGACCGGCAUAGGAGUGUGAAGCGUGACCAGCAUAGGAGUGUGGAGUGUGACCAGCAGAGGAGCCGUCAGCGUGACCAGCAGCAGGGACAAGAAAAGGUGGUGGGGAGUGACCACCCGAGUAAGGAGCAGCGGGGGCGGGAAGAAUUCAUCACUAUAUCCGACAUUGAGACAUCGUUUGAAUUUGAUGGAAGAUUAGUUGGCAAGAGACUUGUGGAUGCUAAGUAUGACAAGAGAUCUACACCUAAGGGGCAUAGGAGAAGACACAAGGGACGGCGCAGGAGGCGUAGCUCUUCUUCGACGUAGCUCUUCCUCGAUACAUAUAUGACCCUAUGUGGCGCCCCCAAACCUCGUGGGUCCGGCGGCCACAGUACUGUACCUGUGCAACAUGUACCAGUCCCAGGAUACACAAGCUAGUACACACAGAACAUCAGUGAUCCACACUUGCUUAAUUUCUGCAGAAUUGUGCUCAAGUUUCUAUACACCAAUGAUAUGUUAUGAGUUCUGUUGUGUUGACCAUCAGUAGUUGGUCCACGUCACUUUAAUUUCUGUGGAAUUGUGAACAGAUACUGUUUAGGUCUAUCUUUUAUGAACCAGUGAUACAGUAGGAUGUGCAAGUGCGCCAACUGCUUAUGUUACUUAUCUCCUGAAUCUGAUUUUAGACUGUAGAAGUCUGUGCAAGUCUUGGAUCUCCCGUAGGCUGUACUCAAGGUAGCAGACGUGAGGCAUAUAGAGUGCGCUAAUUGAAUCACUCCCGAAGCAUGGAAAAUGAGUUGAGACCAGUGAUAUGGAAAAAUAGCUUCAUCUAACAUGGUUUUCAUAUCCACAUGACAAUAUUAAUGUGGUGUAUCAAUGUGGCCUGUUUCUGAAGUUAUCUACCACGUGCAUUAUUAGAUUACAUGACUAACUGUUCUGCUCAAUUUUCAGUGUUGCAACAGAAAUUCAGACUAUCGUACAGGAUGCCAAGGGCAAGUUUGAGAAAGAAAGGUGAAGGACCAAUUCAUUUCACUUGCCUGUGAACUUCUACUUGUAUGAGUGCAGUUCCUUUUUGUUGUACAUCUGUGGCAAAAUUAUCUGAAAGUUCUAUCAAAGACUUCAAAGGAGGUUACUGACCUGUAUCCAAUGCAGUGAUGCUCAUCUGGUAACAAUCCCCUCUUAGUUUUUGCUAAUGUCAGCUUCAUUUGUAUUUGAUGUAGUGUGAAGGUUUACUGAAGAACGAGUACACCAAGUUUCAAGCAACACAUGAUAAAUUCUGCAAAGAAAAAGCUGCACACAUGCAAACUCUCAAAGGUGAAUUAUAUAGGUGAACAUAUUUUAUCUUGAGGAUAAACAAGUGUUGGAGAGCCUUGGAGGUGUUAACUUCCAUUCUUAACUAACCAGGUGCAAAGAGUUUCUCUAUCCUCUUCAUGUCGACUUGCUGAUUCAUGAUGGAGAUGGCUGUCUUUUGAUUGGUGUCAUUUCGACACGUGACUUGGUUUGGUCAGCGAAUGUAAAUGGCUAUUUGGCCAUGUGACUUCUGUUUUGGCGAGUGACAAUUUAUUUUCGUUAGUGACUUGUGGUUGCUUAUUUUGCUAUUAUAGGAUAUGGUCAUGUACUGAGUAAACAUGUAUUGCGCUAUCAGAUGUAUGGAUAUUAAUUGGGUUUUGUAUUGGAUUUUAACUGGGCUAAAUUUGUUUGAUAUAUGGGCUUCUCGAAUGUGCAUGGCCCAUAUGCAUUUUUGUUGUAAUGUUUGGGCCUAUUGGGCCUUUGAAUAUGUAUGGCCCAUUCAAUUUUUAA